rnacentral:ncRNA from 3 species
GACGUAGGAUGCAAGCGUUGUCCGGAUUUAUUGGGCGUAAAGAGUUCGUAGGCGGUUUGUUAAGUCUGAUGUUAAAGAUCGGGGCUCAACCUCGGGAGUGCAUUGGAUACUGGCAGACUGGAGUGUGGUAGAGGUUAGUGGAAUUCCCAGUGUAGCGGUGAAAUGCGUAGAUAUUGGGAAGAACACCAGUGGCGUAGGCGACUAACUGGGCCAUAACUGACGCUGAGGAACGAAAGCCAGGGGAGCGAAUGGG